rnacentral:rRNA from 1 species
UACGUAGGAUGCGAGCGUUGUCCGGAAUUAUUGGGCGUAAAGCGAACGUAGGCGGCCUUAUAAGUUUGGUCUUAAAGACCGGGGCUCAACCCCGGGAAUGGACCGAAUACUGUGAGGCUGGAGUACGCUAGAGGAUGGUGGAAUUCCAAGUGUAGCGGUGAAAUGCGUAGAUAUUUGGAGGAACACCGGUGGCGAAAGCGACCAUCUGGGGCGUUACUGACGCUGAGGUUCGAAAGCUCGGGGAGCAAACAGG